CUCCCUGCCGGGGGAGGCUGAGGCACCGCGGCCCGCCGCGGCCCGCCGCUGCCCGCCGCUGCCCGGCCCUGCCCGGCUCUCAAACCCUCCCGGGGACAGGGGAGGGAGGCUGCGAGGCGCCGGGACGAUGCGAGUGGGCGCCGCGGGCUGCGAGGCGAGGGCCCGGGCGGCCGGCGGAGCUGAGACUCGGCGACGGCUCAGCGCCCGCCCCGCCGGCAGCGGACGACUCCCGGAGACGCAAAACAGCGGCGGCGGAGGAGGAGGCAGGCGGCGGGGCUGAGAGGAGAGGGGGGCGAGGCGGCUGUGGGAGGCGACCCCAAGCGGCCACGGGAGACCCCCGGGGAGAAGGCGAGGCGCUCCCCCGGCCGGCCCUGAGGAGAGGGGCGGCUGCGAGCACCCCUUCCCCGGCUCUGUGCUGCGCGGUGCUGGAGAUCGGCAGCCGGCGGGGCGAGGCGCCUAAUGGAGGCGGCGGCGGGGCACUGAGGGAGCAGAGAGGCUGCGGCUGUGAGCGCUGCCCGGUAGGUGCUGGGGCUCCCCGUCAGGCUUGACGGAGGAGUUUGGCUUCAUUGAAGGGUGAGUCAAGGCUGAGGUGGCGGUCCCAGCCGGGACAGGCGCCCCAGAGAGCGCCUUGGGGCUGUCAAAGUGCACGGCAAUCCGUGCAAAGGGGGCUUUGUUGUGGAAGGCCUGAGGUGAACACGAGCAGCCCGCUGGAGGGGGAAAGGAGAGGGGAGUUUGGAAAGCUGUGCUGCUAGUGUUAAGCAGCAGCCUGUGCUGUGUUGGUGUUUGCUCAGAGGGGUUUCACGCACGAGGAGCUGGUGGGUGCUCUGAGGAACCUGGUCCAGCUGUGGAGAACAACCUGUAUGAGGCAAACCCCAGGACCCAAAUGCCAUAGGCUGUAAGUCCAAACCUCCCCGAACAAGCAGACAUUAUGUAGAAAACCCAUUUGUUACCAUCUUGAAACAUUGCCAGCAAGGCAGCCUCUUCCAUUUACACUGUUAAUUGGGUUCCCCGGAGCUCGUUAGAAGGAGGUGCCAUUUUUUCUAAACGAGGUGACUGCUAACUUCAGGCUGGCAGUCCUACUAGUUUUCCUCAGCCAAAAAGCCCUUUGCAUUUCCGUAAAGCACCUGUGCACUGUGCUUGUUUAACAAAGACAAGUUUGAGACAUAACACUUGGAGGUAGGGCACGCAUUCUCUUUGUGAGGCUUUCCUACUCCUUGAAUGCUUCUUGUGGCUCUUCUGGGCUCUCUCUUCUCUUGCCAAGCCCUCGAUGACCUGUGCCUGCUUCAGCUGCAUCCAGCGCUCCGUUUGCUAGCCGUAAUUGUCGUCAUUUAUCUCUGCUGGUUAUUGCUGGGAAAACCGAUGUUUAUCGCUGCGUGUCCAUGCGUCCCUGGAGCCUGUUAGAGCUGGCUUUUGAACGGCUCUGCCUUUUGUAAAUUUCUCUACACUGAAGAAUUUCUGUCAAGUGAUGGAC
rnacentral:lncRNA from 1 species